AUUGGUUAUGGUGAUAAAUUAACAAAAGCUAUUAAGUCUAUAGAUGGUUUUAUUUGACUCAGAUACUUUCCUGAAGUCUGAUGCUUGCCAUAAGCCAAGGGCUGAAGUUGUAUCUCUGACACUUUAGAAUUGACUCUUGAGUGCCAGCCUCAGAGCUGGCAUCACACAGACAACUUUGAAACUCACCUUUGUGACCUUCGCACGACUGCUUCGUGAAAUUAGACCACUAACCCAAGAUAUAAGAAUUCACUUCCUGGAAUUGAAUAAGAAAACUGGUGACUGUUUGGCCUAAUGUUGGUAGAGUUUUUUAACUUUCUAUUUUCUAGAGCUGUAAAGAAGCCCUUUCUUUUUCUUCUUAAACGGUCUAUAACGAAUACAAUUGAGUGAAAUCUGCUUUGUAACCUGAAAUAUGGCAUUUUAAAAUAAUAUUUGGUAUUCACUAACCACAAAUUAUUACAAACUUAAUGGCUUAAAAUGACAGAAAUGUAUUCUGUCACAGUUCUGGAGUCUAGAAGUCCAAAAAUCAAAGUGCCUGCAGGACUGAUUCUUUCUGAAACCUCUAAAGGGAGAAUCUGUCGCAUGCGUCUCCUAGUUUCUGAAGGUGGCUGGCUUUGGUGUUUUGUGGCUUAUAGACGUUAUCACUUCAAUCUCUGCUUCUGUUUUCACAUGGCCCUCUCUUAAAUUCGGAAUGAUUCUCAUCACAAAGUUCUUACCUUAGUUACAUCUACAAAGAAGUUAUUUCCAAGGAAGGGCACAUUCAUAGGUGUUGGGACUUGGAGCUAUCUUUUGGGAGGACACAAUUCAGCCCACUCUACCACCUCUCUGGAAUUGAAAAACUUCGCAUGUUUUCAUACUUUUCAUGGAAGUAUUUGCGAAAGCACAGUAAGAAUCUAUACUAUAAGGUCUUGCCUGAAGUGUUGUAUUUGAAACUGAGGUUCUUUUAAUCAGGUAUGACAAGCUGCCUUUAAGGAAAAAACAAACAAAAAACCCUUUACUUAUGCAGCCAAUGCCUCCAAACUUCUCCCAUGAAAACUGGCGUAAAAACCUGGCUUACUGUAGGGUGGUAAGGAAGAUUCCUGGCAGACUAGGAAUCUUUAAAAAUUUGGGGGACUUGCAAGAGAUAGGAAUUCACUUGGAUAUACAGUACUACGGGUAAAAUCUGUUGGAGAGAAAUUCUUGGGCUUGGCUCCCUGGCCUUGGGAUUAAAAAGAAAAAAAAAUAGAUGUUUUUAAAAAGUAAAAUUUGAGAUUCCUUAUGAAAAUAUGCAGGCAGAGGUUAAUUCAUGGCCUUCGUAGCUCUUCAGUAUGGGAUGUAUGAAUUGCAAGAAUUGCAAAGCAAAUUCAAGGAGCUUAUGUGAUAAAUGAACACUCUCGCUGCCUUCAGGUAAAUAAUCAGAUCAAACCUCAUGGCCAAUUUUUAGGAUCAAGAAUAAUCUUUGAGGUAAUUAUGAUCACAAGAGGGAUAGACAAUCAGGAAAAAAUAUUAAAGACUUUUAACAGGCAAAAGGUUAAUUGGUGUCCUGGUUAGCACAGUCUUUUGAGUUAUCUGUACCUUUUGUUGUCUUUGAGCUAUUUUAUAAAUCUGUAAUUUGUAGAAACCAGUUACAAUGAAACAUAAAUGUUGUCCAUAGUGCAUUUGUCUCAUCCAUCUUCAAGAAGUCAGCUUUAUAGCUAUUAACCAGCAAUUUCAACACUGCCAAAUACCCACAUCUGUGUUCUCUGGAUUCUCUUUUCAACUGUUCUACUAUCUUACAGGCUUCUACAGUAUUAUUAAUAAGUUAAAUAAAUAGGUGUCUUUAUUUACAAAGUGUACAAGACAUAAAAGUGUGUUGGUUAUAUCUAUUCAUCAUUCAGGAAAAAAAUAACAAUUUUCGGCUAUCUCUGUGGGGAAAUGGCAUGUAUUGAUUGACUUAACUUGUUUAUCUUUCCUCCUCCUAAAUGGAAUGGCCUUGACUCUGAAAUGGAACUGACUUGGUCUGAUUGAAUACUGUUAUCUCCAUACAUGAGAAUAAUUCCUGGUCCAUCUGAGAUGCUCAGUAAAUUCUUUUGGAAGGAAGAAAUGAUUGGAUGAACACAUUCAGGAAAACAGGACAAGUUCACUGAAAACACUUCCCCUUGUACUCUUUCCCUUCAAUACAACACCUGGAAGGCAGGAGUGGAAUAGGAGGGCUUCGACAUGGUGAUCUUAUGGAAAUACCAGAGCCACUGUUGAGAUAUUAUCUUGGUCCAGUAGCCAUGUGCUAUGAUGAGUUCUCAGUGGCCUCUGCUUAUCAAGGACCAACUCAUUCUGAUUGGUGUCUAUUGAAGCAAAGAGCUGCUCUCGCCUGCCGGGACCUCAUUUGGGGAAAGUGGUCAUUUGCUCCCACCCACAUUUGUACUACUACUCCUUGAUGGUGCUGGCUGGCCAGGAUAAAACCACGCAGAGAUGACACACUUGAUGCAGGCCAGCAAGGAAGGAAGUCACCAU